AGGUCUUGCCUGCCCAGUGACAAGUUAAACGGCCGCGGUAUUUUGACCGUGCGAAGGUAGCGCAAUCACUUGUCUUUUAAAUGAAGACCUGUAUGAAUGGCGGAACGAGGGCUUAACUGUCUCCCCUUUCAAGUCAAUGAAAUUGAUCUGUCCGUGCAGAAGCGGACAUGCCCCUACAAGACGAGAAGACCCUUUGGAGCUUAAGAUGUAAGAUCAACUAUGUCAAGAGCCCCAAAAACUAGGUUAAACUCAAUAGCACCUGAUCCCCAUCUUCGGUUGGGGCGACCACGGGAGAAAACAAAGCUCCCACGCGGACUGGGGCCAACCCCCAAAACCAAGAAAGACACUUCUAAGUCGCAGAAUAUCUGACCAUAAAGAUCCGGCCACCCGCCGAUCAACGGACCAAGUUACCCUAGGGAUAACAGCGCAAUCCCCUUUCAGAGUCCAUAUCGACAAGGGGGCUUACGACCUCGAUGUUGGAUCAGGACAUCCUAAUGGUGCAGCCGCUAUUAAGGGUUCGUUUGUUCAACGAUUAAGUCCUACGUGAUCU
rnacentral:rRNA from 1 species